GUAAUGAUUAUACGGGGUGCACUGGGGCUCUGGACAAGGGCGUCGUCCCACGCAGGCUGAUGCGAGUAGCAGGAUGUAAGAUGAGGAAGCGUCAUGUAGCGAGCAUGAUGCUACACGGAUGAGUCGGGAGAGCCAGUUUCCAGAAGCGGCGUUCCUCGUUCCCUCUGCUCAGUGCCCUGGAGUCCUGACCGCAGCAACGUGACUGGCAUCUGAGCGGAUGCAUCUGAAUUCUUCAAUGCCUGGAUGGAGCAGCUGUUGCCCUGGCCCGAGAGCCUAUCUGGAGAUUGAGACACAAGCUGUUCAGUCACUCCUCUUCCCAGGGAAGACCUUGUAACGGUGCCAUGUGAGUGGGUGGUGCUGGGGGAACUGCACUGCACAGCUAUCAACGAGAUGCCAUGACCCAGCUGCUGAAACCUCUCUCUCUGCCAAGCCUGGCUAUCUGAGCUCAAUCCCCAGGACGCACGUGGCAGAAGAAAAGAAUUGACUCCUACAUACACUCCUGCGGGCAGAGAAGCUGGCUGGGUAGACGGAUGGAAGCGAGAGCGCCGCUCUGAUGGAGAACUGAGAACAAAAACUGGCGGGGAUGCAACCUUGCCUCACGAGCAGACACAAGGAUAACGUCUAGGGAAGGUCUCCAUGUCCAGAUUCUGGAGCGUUUUGAUAUAAUUGCCCGCAACGAGCGCAAAGGACCGUG
ensembl:lncRNA